GAUGAACGCUAGCGGCAGGCUUAAUACAUGCAAGUCGAGGGGCAGCACGAGUAGCAAUACUUGGUGGCGACCGGCGCACGGGUGCGUAACACGUAUACAAUCUGCCUUCUACAGGGGGAUAGCCUUUCGAAAGAGAGAUUAAUACCCCAUAAUAAAUUGAUUGGCCUCAAUUGAUUUUGAAAGUUCCGACGGUAGAAGAUGAGUAUGCAGCUGAUUAGCUAGUUGGUGAGGUAACGGCUCACCAAGGCGACGAUCAGUAGGGGAUCUGAGAGGAACACCCCCCACACUGGAACUGAGACACGGACUAGACUCCGACGGGAGGCAGCAGUAAGGAAUAUUGGACAAUGGAGGCAGCUCUGAUCCAGCCAUGCCGCGUGCAGGAUGACGGCCCUAUGGGUUGUAAACUGCUUUUGUACGGGAGAAAACCCAUCUACGUGUAGAUGGUUGAUAGUACCGUAAGAAUAAGGAUCGGCUAACUUCGUGCCAGCCGCCGCGGUAAUAC
rnacentral:rRNA from 1 species